AAACGACUCUCGGCAACGGAUAUCUCGGCUCACGCAUCGAUGAAGAACGUAGCAAAAUGCGAUACUUGGUGUGAAUUGCAGAAUCCCGUGAACCAUCGAGUUUUUGAACGCAAGUUGCGCCCGAAGCCAUCCGGUUGAGGGCACGUCUGCCUGGGCGUCACGUA
rnacentral:rRNA from 1 species